UACAGAGGGGGCAAGCGUUAUCCGGAUUCACUGGGUUUAAAGGGUGCGUAGGCGGGCAAGUAAGUCAGUGGUGAAAUCUCCGGGCUUAACUCGGAAACUGCCGUUGAUACUAUUUGUCUUGAAUAUCAUGGAGGUAAGCGGAAUAUGUCAUGUAGCGGUGAAAUGCUUAGAUAUGACAUAGAACACCGAUAGCGAAGGCAGCUUACUACAUGUUCAUUGACGCUGAGGCACGAAAGCGUGGGGAGCAAACAGG
rnacentral:rRNA from 1 species